UCUCAGUUUUAUGCUCAAUGUCUGCCUUUGU
rnacentral:piRNA from 1 species